UUUAGUGCAUAUGGAUGGAAAUUGUUUGGCAUUGUUUUAAAGACUUAAAUUUAAACUCCUUAAGAAGGGGCAUAGAUCUUCCAAUUCCUGACUGGCCCUGAAGGCAUUUGAAGUUGUCAUCCUGCGUUUUAUAUCAUUGUUUACAAUUAUUCUUAUCCCACCAUAUCAGUAUUUUUCAGUAGGGAAAUUUUGGCCAUUUUGAGCCAGAUAAUUCUCUGUUGUGUGGGAUUAUUUUGUACAUUGCAGGACAUUUAGCAUCCCUGAUGCCCACCAGCUCAAUGCCAGCAGUGUCCUCAGGCCUAUGUGAUAACCAAAUCUGACCCCAUGCAUGUCCACACUGGGGCAUCUGUUCUUGUCUUGGGCUAAUGAUGAAAUUAUCACAGGCUCUCCUCCAUAAAUACGUUUAAGUAUGAUGACCUUAAGUCCUAGGAUACCUGGGACAGUCCUGUGGUUCAGGUGUAUUUAUUAAUACCCCUUAGUCAUUUAAUUAAUAUUAAUUAAUUAAUAGCCGUUAGUGACCCUUGUCACUCUCAGAAGUAUCCCUAUUUGGAUGAUAAACCAGUGGGUCGCCCUGAGUAUAAGGCCCUGCUUCAGAAAUGGUUAGAUUUGUCAGGUUCUGCCCAGGAAAGACUAAAUGUGCCAUUGGUGCUAAGCAUGUCUUCCCAGAGUUAAUCUAUAUGUCAUGUGGUAAAUGCCUUCCACUGAGGAUGCUAUGAUCAGAUCCUACUUCCAACUCCAGAGCUGAACAUCGGGGUAGUCAGUGACACAGGCACAUUUUUUAAAAGGUGGGCAGGAAUUGGCUUAAGGCCAGAGCUAGGCUGAAGAAAGAGGAUGUCUGAUGACCCCUUGGAUUCAAGAAGACCUGUAGCAUAUCAUGUAUGGUCUAGAGAGGCCUGCUUAGGCUCCAUGCUUUACAGAUUAAGAAACUGAGGACCAGAGAAAGGAAGGGAAAUAGAACCUCAGGGUAUGAAAGGCUUAAGAGUCUUCUUGCCCUCCCCAACUUGGAAGCUUUCAUUUCCACUGAGCAUAUUCACAGGUGGAGGGUCAGCCUCCAUCAGAACUGCGAGCCAUGGGUCAUAGAUAGCGCACAAGCCACAGGCAGAGGCAGAACCCAGGGAUCCCCAGUUUUGGAUCACAGCACUUCACUUUGUUCUAUUCUGUAUCUCCUUAGAUUUCCUCCCAAGAUACUUAAACCUCCACUCUUCCAUAUACAUCUAAAAGAUGAAACCGAUUUAGAAGUACCAGAUGUAUCUGAGAGAGGAUUCCUAGAGAAUAUAGGAGCUGCACACUCAACAGUCGUGGGCUGGUUUGAGAAGUGGAUUCCAUUGUAUUUGACCCUGGGUCCCAUGUGCAAUAUGCAGUGUUCAUGGCUUCCUACCUGGAGAAAGUUAAGUUUUAUUGUGUUCAAGGAGGUUGAGAGUAUAUAUUUGAUGUCCCAAGAUUGAGGAAGUGGUCCAGCAGGAAGACUGCAUUGAGUUACCAACUUGGGUGAAAAAGAUCAAGGUGAAGAUUUUAUUCCACAAAGUAUAAGGGGCCAGUAGGUCUUUACAGAAUAGAUAGGCUCAGGCCCAAGUAUGGUGGAUUAAGACUGACCUGAGAGAACACGAUAUCAGCACAUCCAUUGAUGGGAAGGAAGGACGUUGACCCAAUAGGCCAUUGGCUUUGUGGAACAACAGUCUUGAAAACCCUUGGAGAAGAUAGGUGCAGCCAACUCUGGAGGACUGCCUGAAAGGGAGCAGAGCCUGUAGAGGAGGCAUGGAGCCUCUGGAUGAAGGGCCGGUGCAACAUUCAGAGUUCAGUAUUGAUCGUGUUUGUGAUUUAAACACUCAGAGACCAAGGAAUUGACCACUUUGAUGUGGAUUGAUGGUUUCCUGAUGCUUUAUGACAGGUGUGGCCCAGGGACCUCUCCCCCAAGCCUGGGAGAAUCAUCCUCUGCUGUUAAACAGCUCAAUCAUUUCUCAUCCCUGGCAUCCUCACUGGUCCAUUGGCUCCUCCCUUCCUCCCCUCUUACCUACAAGUGCUGACCCUUCCUGGGCUGCUGCCAAACAUGACCCUGGAUACUGUGAGUCUCAGGCUGCUGGGCUACCAGGAUCAGAAUCAAGAAGGGAAAAGGAUCAAAAUUUAUAGAGUAUCUUUUAGAGUACUAGCAUGGUCAUUUCAUUACCAACUUUGCAAAAUAGGUAUCAUUGAUCCCAUUUUAUAGACGAAUAAGUUGAGUCUGAUGGAUAACUUGCUAUGUGAGGGACCCAAGCCUGCUAAUUCUACACUUUUGCACACUCUCACUUUAUUGCCUACAGAAGAGCUCAGAAGGAGAGGGAGGGAGAGGGGGACGGGAAGUAGAACUGUCCCUGGGGUAGAAAUAAAUUGGAGUGCUGGACAUGUGCAUUAGGAGCCUACUAGGCUGUAUUGCAGAUGACUCAGUAUGCAAUGGGCAGGAAGGAGGGGUGAAGAGAGGAGUAGGCAGUUUUCUCCAAAGCUGCUUUACAACAACAUCCCUGAGUGUGAACAUAAGUGAGUCUACAUGUCUAUCUCUGCCUCUUCUACACAUACCUUUGCAGGUUGCUGUGUGGAGUUUUUUGGUGCCUUCUUUUCUAAUUUAACUUGAUUUCCUUGAGGAUGGCAGAGCUGGACAUGUUCAGGAAACCUCAGAAAAAGAGCUGUAUGUCACUAAGUCAGGAAGAGGGCCCAGAGGUCAGGGUUUCUCAUCUGGGGCCAUCAAUACCGGCCUCCUUCUAGCUCUGUCAGACACUUGGCCCCUUCUGGGUACUCUGGCAGAGUUUGGUACCAUUCUCUCACACUGAAGAGAGACCCUCAUAGGUAGAGGCAUUGCAAGCUGCAGGCUGUGGCUCACAUUGCAAUGUAGCUGUAUCAGCCAUGAUUUUUAGUUACAGGCAUCAGCCAACUCUGGCUGACUGAAGCCGAAGAGAGUUUGAUGCAAAGAACACUGGGUGGCUGGAGAAUCAGUAGGAAUGCUGACAGUAAGGCUGGAGAAUAAGCAGCCUGGAGCAGCACCGAGAAUCACAUGGUGGAAGGAGUCUGGAGAAACUUCUACUGCUUCAGCCAUUGAAUGUUGGGCACUAUCAUUGGCAUCACAGUCACCUCUGUGCACAAACUUGAACCUGCAGUAGGGAGAGAGAGAACUCCACCCUUCCUGUGUCUAGCUCCAGAGUCAAAACCCAGGGUGGCACAUGGUGGAUGGAUCCUGUGUACAGCCUGUGCCUGGCUGCAAAGGCUGCUGGGAAAGCCAGUUGCUGCAUUUUUGGCAUCUACAGUGGGAAGCAGCCACUGAAGACAAUGAAGACUCAUGAAGUGGGAACUUCUCAAUGAAAAAGGAGUUCAAAUAUUGGGUGGCCAAAUAAAAUGAUAAAUAUUCACUAUCAUUGCCUUAGUUGAGAAUCGAGAAGCUGGGGGCAGUGUGAGGGUACUGAUGGCAACAUUCUCUAACAGGUAUUGAGUGAUUAUUCUCUGGGCUAACUAUUCUAAAUGCAGUAUCUCAUUUAAUCCUUCCGACAAAUCUCCCAGGCAAUUACUAAUAUUGUACCUAUUUUCCAAAGGAGACAACUGGAUUGUAGACAUGACUGUGGCACAUACCUAGUAGGUGUCUGAGCUGAGGUUCUGGCGUAGGCAGUCUGUCUUCUGAGACUGUGCUCACAUUUUCAUGAUUGAGGGCUGGUGAGGAACUCUAGGGGUAUUUCUUUAAGUUAAAGCAUUAAAACCAGCUGUCCCUAGUGCUCAUCAUUCCAAUUAUGCCACAUUAACUCCAGUCUUUUAAAAAUCCCGUCUCAAGGUACUUCUAGGAGUCUCCAAGAUGGCUUGUGUGAACACGUGUCAGACCAGGUUAUUGGAGGCCACCGUGCUGUCACCUUCCUCUGCCAAGUCCAGGCCCACUGUGGGGACCGCUGUCCAGGCUUAGAAACUCCGGUAUGAACACUGGUGGGCGGGCACUCUCCCGUAGCUGCCCUUGGCCACAAUGGAGAUCUCCCCUGGCCCUCUCCCAGACUGAGUCACCUGUACUACACAGUUUGCCCUGUUUGACACAACUGCCAGCCAAACCUGAGAUCCUCCUGGGUCACUGGCCAUGCCCAGGAGAGGCCUCGAGGAGCCAAUCUUUGCAGCCCAGCCACAGAUGCUCUUGGCCAUCAAGGAGCUUUACUGAGCCCUGUCAGGGGACAGGAGGAUUCACUUCCCUCAGCUCCCCUCUGUGAGACACCUAUAGUAAGGCUACAGAUUUCAAAGGGACGCCAAAUUUGGUUGUUUCCACCAGCGAAACCCAUUUUUGCCCUAGGGCCCACAUAGAUCAUCAGCAUAGUGAUGUCAGCAGCACCCUUCAGGCCCAGGGGCAGAAAACUGCUGGUUGUGACAUCCUUCCUCUUCUCCUCCCCUUUAAAGACCCUGCCUUCCUUUUUCAUAAUUGGCUCAAAUCACUCUCCUCCCACUCUGAUCUCACAUUCAUUAAUUCAUCUGGUCAACAUCAAAUAUUCAUUAUGCACCAAUUAUCUGUAAAACGGGGAUAGGAAUAAUGAUAUUUCAUUGUCUUGGUUUCGGUCUUCGUGCAAGCAGACUUGAGACAAGGGCUUGGUUGCAGGCUUUUUAUUCGGGAGGUGAUCCCAGGAAGCAGGAGUGAGGGAGCAGGAAGAUUGAGCAGGGAAGGAGGAAAACAGUAACCUAAGGGUGUGCUAUUGGUUACUGCUGCUGGCAGUGGGAGCCCAAGUGCAUUGGCACAUCUGAGAAGCACACAGAAGCAUCCCAGGAUUGUCCUCCUGAAGGAAGGGAGGCAAGAGCAUUUAUCCAUAGCUCCUAGCCCCCUUGGUAGAUAGUUGCCUUGGGACAGGGAGUGAGAGGUUGGGGGUUACCUGCCCUGACCUUUAGAGGGCUGAGCUGAUUUCUGCAGCUUUAGCAAGUCUUUAAGGCAGAGAGGAGCAAGCCAUGGGCACAUGCCUAAGUGGCACUGUCCAAGGAAGAAGCUCCUCCUUGCAGUUGGACUGAAGUCAAGAGUGGGAUGAGGGGCCGUGAUACAGCACGGAAAACAUACACUACACUUUCUCAUGAAGUAGUUACCAUUAACUGAGUUAAUUUAUGUAAAACACCUAGAACAAUACCUGCCCCCAAUAAGGCUAUAUGUGUGUGUUUGCUGCUAUUAUUUGUGUGACUAUUACAUGUGCCUGGUGCUUCUCCAGGCUCUGUAGGUAACACUCUCAUGAGACUUACUUUCAGCUCACAAAACAUGCCUUGUUUAUGUGUCAAAGCUCUGAUUCUUGAUACUGUCCAAGUUCUUUUGCCAGGAGAUUCUCAGCCCCCAUGUUUGGGGAUGGCCAGGGGACAUGGCCCCACUUGACUGCCUGCCUUGCCAGUAUCUCUGAUCCAUUUUGGAGGCCUGCCCUGCCAUGCUCUGCUUCCCAGGAUCCUGAACAAGGAUUUGAGAACUAAGGUUUGAAUUCUGCAUAUGAAACAGUCAAACUCAAGUUGUCCAUCUGCUGGGAAAAGAAAAUAGCUUCAGAGCAAAGUCACUUGCCUUUUAAUAAUUGAUGGAUAAAAGAUUGCAGCAUGUGCAAAAACACACUUUCCAGAUCUGCCACUAAGAACGGUUCGGGCAGAAGAAACUGCUCUUUCCAUUGCCCCAGAGGCCAGGCCUGCCCUCAGCUAAUCUGGUGACCUAAUCCUUUCACAUGGGGGAGGACCAGAGCAUUUGCAUACAAGCAAUGAAUGCAUCUUUCCACCAGAGGCUUCCAGAGGCAAGUCCAAUCUAGUUAGUGCUUAUCUGUCCAAGCUGGCUGACCUUCUCCCAGUGCACAGUCCAGUCCCAAGUCCUCCCACCCCUGCCUUGUUCCCAGAACGAGUCUUGACUAUUCUAGCCUCAUACCUCGUCCCUAAGUUGCAACACUUGAUAUGGCUCCUUGAGGACUGCCUUGGCCAUCUCCUUGUUGCCGCUCCCACUGACUGCUUGGGUUUCAGCAGUUCACGGCUUCACGAGGCAACCCCUCCCUCUUGGUUCUAUGAUAACAUAACCGGUCACAGGCCUUUUGCCCAGCCCAGGCACUGAGGGACUGGGACCUGCCCUGGCCCCAUCUUGGCUUUCACAAAUGGGAGCUGGUGAGGUCUCACCCAGGUGAAACCCGGAAUUCACUUUCCUUUCAAAUGUUAAUAUGUUGCUGUGAAAACAUGCCUUUAUCAGUCCAGAAUCCUGUGUCUGUAAUCUCAAUAUCUAAAAGCUCUGAAAGCCAAAAGUUGGUUAUAAUCUGCAUGGUAGCAAAAUCUAACAGGGUUAAUUUCAUUUUCCAGAAUUAUCUGACCUGCACUAAGUGGAGGCUAUCUAUUGCCUUUAUUGAUCUCAUUUGGUGUGAAUACGCAUACAUGCUGCUGGAGAAAUAUUAAUGUCAUUGAUUACGAGGUGUCCCAGAGCUCACUGGGGUGUUGAUGUAUGAAGUGGUAUGUGCACCAAACUGCCUUUCUAAAAUACAUUCUGAAUUCUGAAACAUACCUGGCCCCAAGAUUUUGGAUGAGGAAUUUAGGCCUGUAUUAAAAUUAACCCAGGGAGGGUUAGGGCCUGGGAGAAGUGACCAUGAGUGGCCAUUGUUAUCUAAAGCUAAUGCAGGGAGCCAGGGGCAGCAGUGGCCUGAGUUAAAUAUCACUGGAUCCUUUAGUAUAAUUACAGAGUCAGGACUUAAGGAGAGUCAUUGACAUCCCUUUCAUCAAAAAGAAAAGAAAGAAUUGCUCCCUGUAAUCCAUACCCAUUAAUUCAGCAUCUCCCCUAGAUAGCUGAAACCCCUUCAGAAAGACUGGAAUAUUUUCUAGAUAAUAAAUCUGGGUCUUUAUCUUUCCCUUUUCUUCUUUCCCCUCUUCCCUUUGCCCCAUCCCUGAACUUCCCCCUCUUCUUGUGUUUUUGUCCAUAAAAGAGCAGCUUCUGUCAUUCAUGUGACAAUGAGCCUCCUUAGGUAAUUAAAGGGGAGUCUGCAGCCUGAACUACAAGUGAGAGGUCAUCUUUUUCAGCUUAUAGUCCUACCUCUACUGGGAGUGUGAUUCUGGGGACAAGAAGGAAGAAACGGUGCCAAAGCGCAUGGAUGGCCAAUUGUGCGCCUGGCUCUUCCAUGUGGAGUAGGCAGUGGGGCUGCUUGGAGCACACUUAGUGUUUGCCCUCCAGAUUUUUCCAGUCUCCUCAUAGAUGACCCAUGCCUGAUCUAGAAUAGGGAGGCAGGGUUUUAGAUUUAACUAGAAGUCUUCAUUUGUAUUCUUCCCAGAAGCAGACCCUGAGAUGAGGGUUCUGGGAAAUAAGGAGAACAGCAGUUGGGAAGAGGAGAACAAAGCCAGGGGAUGACUAGAGCUUAAUCCUUUGGGGAAACUCUGGGUAACAGCACAGAACACACCUCAGAGUUAUCUUCCUAAGGUGCCAGAUGAGGGAGUUGAGGUAUUUAUACACCCUCUCCUGAGACUCAUGGGUUGAGGGCUGCUGGAGGCUGCGAUGACAAUGCCCUGACACAUGGGCCUGCUUCCUGGGGGCAAAAGCCUCAGGCACAGACAUACAUACACUGGGGUUUGAAGUUGAUUGUUACAUACUGUAAUAGUAACAUCCAAGCAAUACUAGCAGGGCACUGACAGCAUCUAAUACAGUUUUUUUUUUUUUCACUAAAAUGCAAAGGAAUGUUUGCAUUUCUUUAUCAGAAGAAGGAAAAGAAUGCCAGUCUUCCCAUUUUGAUGGUUGUGCCCACAAGAACCAGCAGAGCCUGGAAGGACAAUAUGCUUGGUAGUGGGAUCAUUUGGGGCUAGUGAGGGGGCAGGGUCUCGGGAAAAAGGGCACGGUGCCUGGUGAAGGGAGUCAUUCUGGGGGUGCUGCAGUGAUGAUGCUAGUGGCAGCUGUGCCCUUGGCAAUGGGAGUGGGGGUCUGCUACUGCAGUGAACCCUGAAAGCAGUAGGGAGGUGCUUCUUUAUAUCCCUUAGAGACUUCAGCAAAAAAUAUCCUUGAAUAAGGCUAGGGUAGGCAAGGGAAAAAUGGCAGGCACAGCAGUGGACUCAGCUUGAUUGUGAAGCCCUUUCUUAGGCUCUGUAUGGGGCUGGAAAUACCACAUGUGUCCUGUUUGGUGGGGAGGGGUCCUGUUGGGUGGAUAAGUGAUGCUCAGAGCAUUUCUAGGGCAGGAGUUGUCAAACUUUUUCCUGCUAAAUAUUAUAGGCUUUAGGGGUACUACUGUCUCUGUUGUAACUACUCAGCUUCCCUAUUGUAUAUCAAGAAAUGGUCACAGACAAUAUGUAAGGAAUGCGUAUGGCUGUGUUCCAUCACAACUUUAUUUAUGGAUGCUGAAAUCAGAAUUUUAUAUAAUUUUCAUGUGUCACAAAUUUUUUUUUCUGAUUUUGUCCAUUCAUUAAAAAAUGCAAAACCUAUUUUUACCUUGUGAGCCACACUGAAACAGGCUGUAGGCUGAAUUGGGCCCGUGAACUGUAUUUGCAGACCCUUGUUCUAGGGCUUCUCUCUGACUUGGGCUCCAGGGUUAAGGGCAGAUUUCCAACCGAUUCUUGACAGCGUAGGAGGGGCAAACCUCCUCCUCACUCCAGUGAGAUAAGUGACUCAUCCAAUAAUGGCAAAGACUCAAAAGCAAGGAGAUAGAACCUCAUGUAUGCGUGGACAUUUAACUGGCUCCGGUGAAGGCUUGAAGCCCUAUUUGCUAAGCUUCUGCUCAUUUGCUGCUCCAGAAAGUGACAGCCUGCAUGACCAGUCCACAGCCUGUUACUUUGGGGAUUUUACAGGGUUCAUAGAGUAAAGAGGAGACUUUGGGUAAAUACAGAUCAAAUAUUUGGGUGACACUGGUAGAGUGAAAAGGUAGACUUUUAAGCCACAUCGCCUUGCACGCAGCUUCCAGCUCUGCCAUUUACAGCCUAGUAAUCUGAAUCAAGACACUUAAUUACUCUGGGUCUCAGUUUCCUCAUCCAUAAAAUGAGGAGCAAUAAUAACCCCCCUUUUAGGCUUAUUAUGAGGAUAAAGUAAGACAAUACGUGAAAUGACCUUGGAUCAAGCUCAGCUUGGCAUCUCAUCUUUACUUAAUGGAUGGUUUUAAAAUUAUUUUUAAUGCCAACUUCACAAAGUUGUGAUAGAAAUUAAAUGAGAUAAAUGUGUAAAGGGCUCAGGGACAUAGUAUGUGUUAAGAAAAUUAUUGCUACUAUUAAAAAUAUGAUGGAGAAAAAAAGGUUAGGUAUUUCUCCAUCUUCUCUUUGGGAUGAUGGCUCUCAAGAGGUGGGAAGAGGAGGACAAUGGCACCUGCAUAAUUUUGAUUGCAGGAUAUUUGUAUUCUUUCCCUUUCUGAAGUUCCUGAAUAGCAAAUGUUUUUGACAGCAAUUGGGUCUGGAUGCCACGUUUUGAAGCCCAACUAACAAACAAGAGAUUAUGAGACUGCAGUUAUCUUUUACCAGCUGCGUGGAAAAAUCCUGUCAUUUGGCAUCACACAACUAUGAAUUCUUUUAUCUCUUUCUCCCUUCUUAUGUGCUCCUGGAGCAUAUGUAAGCAAGCUCUGACAUUGAUAACACAUUCUUAUUAACCAUUAUCUGAAAGAUGGGAUGCCAACUUAGGAGUUUUGCAUUGCAUAUCAGAUGGAAAUUUCCAUUGGGGAAUGGAAUGUUAUCCACUCCUGGCCAAUGACAUCCCAAGGCUGAAGUUACCUUCUACAUACACCAUAGUCUGAGGUCAUGAAUUGGCUAGAUUUCUGCCCAAAUCUUUGCCUACUCCUUCAGAAGGAAAUGGAAUAUGAGGCAACUAUGGGCACUUAGAGGGAACAGAAAGUUGAUUUUCUGUCAUAUAAACGUUAGCUUCUUAGGCAGUGUAGAUGGAGCAGGUGACUGGAGCCAGAGGGAUGGGGUUGUGCUUGUAGAAAGGCCAAAUGAACAGGCUGAGUGGAGACCCUGUGGGGGCCCCUGAGAUGCACCCUUUAAUAUUCAUCCCACUCCAUGUGGUCAGUCUAAGCACAUCAUGUAAUUCCCAUUUUCCUUGACAGAAAUUGGUUAAGUAAAGGGCAUGUUAUCCACUCCUGGCCAAUGAGAUGAGGAAAAGCCUACAGUACGUGUGUGUGUGUUGGUUGGGGGGCAGUCUGGGGAAAGUUUAUCUUCUGUGAAGAAGGAACUCAGAGAGAGAGUGCCUUUUCGCCCUGUGGACUUUGCCAUGAGCGCCUGGUGCUAAGGUGUCAUCCUGCUAUCAUCCCUCUGAGAGACCAGCAUCAAGUAUUCCUGAAAGGCAAGAGGGAUGGUUCCUGGAUCCCUAAGGACAGCAUUGCCUGGCAGCUGAUCUCUACUUGCCUUCAAAUUAUAAUAUCUCUGUGCUUGCUCAUUGUUGAAGUCAGUUUGAGUUGGAACUCUGUUCCUUGUAACCAGAAGGAUCCUAUCUGGGGGCCACAUUUUUGACAUUGGAAUAUCACCAAGGUGAGAAAUAAGGGAAGGGUGUGCACUAGGCAUUUAGAAGAGGGGAGCGGCUGGGCACUUUUAAUGGGUUAGUGUGAAACAUACCUUGUACUCUAUCUGGAGCAUCCUAUAUUAAUUAACUAACUUAUUAAUGAGCCUGUAUAAGGCACCUACUACAUGGUCAGCAUAGGGACAGGUCUUUCUGAGAAUAAAAGAGUCAUAUAAAACAUCAUUCUAGUUGUCAAGCAUCAUAAAAUUUAGUUGGUGGAGACAAGACUAGAAAUAAAACAAAAUAAGUGGUUUAGAGAAGGGCGUGAUGAGUGAGUGCUAGAGUAGGUAAAAGCUUCGUGGGAGAUGGAGAAAGCUAAGCUGGGCCUUAAUCAGCAGAAAGAAUAAAGGUGAGGACAUAGAGACGUUAAGUCACAUGCUCCAACACAGCCAGAAAGUGGCAGAGCUGGGGUUCAAACCCAGUAUGUCUGACUCCUUCCAACCCUGGGCAUGUAACUACUAUGCUGGAGCAUACUUAUGCUCCCAAUGUGUAUUUGUAAGCCUGGAAUGCUCAUAUAUUAAUUUAUAAUGAGAAAUAGAACUGGAAAACAUUAUGAAUUCAAAAUCUGUGAAGCCAAGUUAUAUUCAGAAGGUUCCCAAGGCAGCUUGAAGCUGAUUAACAGACAGGAUAUCCCUGACACCAGGAUGGAGGCAUGUGUCUUGAAGGGCUAGUCCUUCUCUUCCUGGCUAGGUACUGGUAAGAGAAUGGCCAGUUUUGGAGUCUUGGGGCUCCCAUUUAAAUGCUCCAGGCUGUUCCUAAAGUCCUUCUUCAGUCAUGGUGUAAGUCAACUGGUCAGGCCUCUAGGUGUUCAUUAUGUUCACAUUUAAUUCAGUGGUGUACUAGCAAGUGUUUAACAAAUGGCUCUCUGGGGCACUGGGGGAAGCCCUAAUUUGUAACAUUCACCAAGUCAAGUUCCAUGGUGUAAAUACUCCCUCCAAGACUAUUUCAAGCUACCAGCAGGAAGAGAUGCACACAAUCAAUGGCUCUUGAGUGCUGGUACCGGCAGGCUCCAGCACACCACUGUGCUCACAUUGCAUCCUGCCUCUCAGAGCCUUCCCAGAUGCCUUGAUGGGAAUUAUGGAAUGUUCUCAGACUUUUGUAGAACAUUUACCAAAUUAGUCACAGCCAUGUGUGUGAACUUUUUCAGUUUAAUUAUUGGAAAAUGGCCUCACUUCCAAAUUCUUGGAGAACACUGUUUUUACCUUCAUGUACCGUCAACUAAUAGAGCUGUAAGGUGGCCAAAGAAACCAAAGAUGGAUUUCCUUUCUGUAUUGCCUAAAGUCCAGAGUUCUGUUAAAAAUUACUGUCAAGAGUGAGGCUUGGGGUCUGUGCUGCACUGAGUAAUACCAUGGGUAGCAAUAGAUAAAUUGGCACAGAAGAAUCUUCUACAGCACCACCGCCAUUCACCCCCUGCCUCACUUUGCUGUCUUACCCAACAUUACAUGACAGAAAAAAGAAAUUGUGUUGCCUAGUAACAGCUCUGAGCAAGGGGAGACCAGUCAAUACAAUUCUGAAUUAAGGCAACAUCCACAAAAAAAUCCAUCUUGAGGAUUUAUACGAAAACCAAAGUGUAGUUAUAGUCUUACAAGCUGGUGGAGAAGUCCCAUUAGCUUUGGGUAUUGGAUUAUUUAGAAUAAUAUAUCUGAGAUAUAGAUUUCUUUUUCUGGGAAGAAUAAUCUACUCUGAGGCCAUGAAAAUCAAUAGGCCACUUUGAAGACUGACUUCAGCUGUUAUUGGUAAUGUUUUGGUUGUGUUUGUGAAUCAACAAUCAAGCAAAAAUAAGGCCAUUUAGUAGCUCACACUAAAGAGCACUACUUGUCAAUUUUGCAACGAAGCCUCUCCAUCCAUUGAAUGAAACAGCAUCUCCCAAGGGCUGCUGUGAGCCUAUGGAGACCCUGAAAGCUGACACCAGCACAAAGAAUUAAGGAUAAGUCUUCCAGGGUGGCCAGUCAUCCCAGCAUAUUGAGACUGAGGAGUUUCCCAGGAUGCUGGACUUUUAAUGCUAAAACUAGGAAACUCCUUGGCAAACUGGGACAGUUGGUCGCCCUGGAUCAGUGGUUCUCAACUGCAGAUGAUUUUGCCCCUCAGGUAGGGUUGCCAGAUAAAACAGAAGAUACUCUGUUAAGUUUGAUUUUCAGAUAGACAAUGAAUAAUUUUUCAGUAUAAGUAUGUCCCAACUACUACAAUGGGACACAUUUAGAGUUAAAAAGAAUUAUUCUUUGCUUGUCUAAAAUUCGAAUUUAACUAGGCUUUUAACAUUUUUUAAAAAAUUUUUUUUGUAAAACUGACAGUCUUACCCCCAGGAGAUAGUUGGUAAUGAUUGGAAGCCUCUUCGGUUUUCACAACCACAACUUCAUCAGGGAUGCUACUAGCAUCUAGUGAGUAGAGGCCAGGCAUGCUGCUAAACUUCCUAUAAGGCACCAAUGCAGACAACAGCUGCCUAAAACAAAGAAUUAUCUGGCCUGAAAUGUCAGUGGUGCAGAGGUUGGGAAAUCCUGCCGUAGACCUAAACAAGCUGGUGCCACGGAGCUCCAUCUUCCUUGAGAAAACACUAAAGGAUGGACGUGGGCUUCCCUGCUUCAUGCACACAGAUGGAAAAAUGUCACAUACAUUCCUGACCUUUAACACUUUCAGUCUGAUGCGUCAAACAGCCAUUGGGAGCUUAAGAAGUGUCUAGCAAAAUGGGACAAUUCCCCUUGCCGGACUCCCCCUUCCACACUUGGAAGGGUGAGGCAGUGUGUGUCAUCAAACAAUAGAGCAGAUAAAAGCUGAAUCAGGGUGGUCUCCAGGACACCCCCAUCUCCCCAGACUUCUAUGGUGACAUUUCUUGCACUCCUCAAGUUUGUUCAUGGCUUUGAAAACACAGUUUCAGAAUGUCUUCAUUGUUUCAUACGGUACUGGCCGCGCCUGGAGUUUUCCUGAAGGAAACUGUAGCAGCAGGAAUUUUGUGCAAUACUAUAAUAAGGGGGCUUUAUCCUUCCAAAAAUACAUCCUUUCUCCUUGUUGCCAGCUCUCCCACAGCCCUGUGAAAAAUGUAGCUCAGAAGUUACUGAGGCGUUUUUCUGUUUUUCCUUUCUCACUUUAGUUCAUAUCAAGCAACAGAAAGCAAUUCUAUUAUUCACACUUAGGCGUGCUAGCUUGAAUGAAUGAACAAAUCAAAUAUCAAUCCUUUUCUCAUUUCCCUAGUGUGUAAGAACUGAAAUGUAGAAAGUGGCAUCUGCUUAAAAGGAAUUGGUGAAUUUGACUUCUCUAGGUACCUUAUCCAAGUGGAAUGAGUGUUUAAUGGGCACAGAGUUUCAGUUGGGAAGAUCGAAACGUUCUGGUAGAUGGAUGUUGGUGAUGGUUGCACAACUAUGUGAUUAUACUUAAUGUCAUGGAACUGUACACUUAAAAAUGGUUAAAAUAGUAGAUUUUAUGUUAUGUAUAUUUAAUCACAGUUUAAAGAAAGGAAUUGGUGAUGCAUGUCUAUGCAUGUAAGUUUUGAUAUAUGCUUGCUGAUUGAUUAUUUAUCUAAGGUCUGUUUACAUAUUUUCCCCCAGUAAACUUGGUACUUGCCUCAUUGUCCUGUAUCCUUAUCCUUAAAUUAAUUGGACAAUGCCUCUUUCUUCUUCUCCCUCUUCUUAACUCCAGCAGUCACAUGAAGAUAGAAAUAUAUUUUGUCUUUGGAAGUUACUCUUUUUUAAUUUUUUAAUUUUUGUGGGUACAUACAUAGUAGGUGUAUAUAUCUAUGGGGUACAUAAAAUGCUUUGAAAUAGGUAUGCAAUGCAUAAUAAUUACAUCAUGGAAAAUGGGGUAUCCAUCCCCUCAAAUAUUUAUGUUUCAUGUUAUAAUCCAAUUAUACUCUGGAGUAUACGCUGAGUACUCCAAAUGUACUCAAUAGUACAAUUAAAUUACUACUGACUAUAAUCACCCUGUUGUACUACAAAAUACUAGGUCUUAUGCAUUAUUUCUAACUAAUGUUUUUGUACUCAUUUACCAUUCCCCCUCCCCUUCACAGUCCCCCAUUACCCUUCUCAGCCUGUGGUCACCAUCCUUCUACUCUCUAUGUCCAUGAGUUUGAUUGUUUUGAUUUUUAUUAACAAAUCCUGCAAAUAAGUUAGAAUAUGCAGUGUUUGUCUUUCUGUGCCUG
rnacentral:lncRNA from 1 species